rnacentral:rRNA from 1 species
UCCAGGCCCUACGGGGUGCAGCAGGCGCGAAACCUCCGCAAUGUGAGAAAUCGCGACGGGGGGAUCCCAAGUGCCAUUCUUAACGGGAUGGCUUUUCAUUAGUGUAAAGAGCUUUUGGAAUAAGAGCUGGGCAAGACCGGUGCCAGCCGCCGCGGUAACACCGGCAGCUCUAGGGGUAGCAGUUUUUAUUGGGCCUAAAGCGUCCGUAGCCGGUUUAAUAAGUCUCUGGUGAAAUCCUGCAGCUUAACUGUGGGAAUUGCUGGAGAUACUAUUAGACUUGAGAUCGGGAGAGGUUAGAGGUACUCCCAGGGUAGAGGUGAAAUUCUGUAAUCCUGGGAGGACCGCCUGUUGCGAAGGCGUCUGACUGGAACGAUUCUGACGGUGAGGGACGAAAGCUAGGGGCGCGAACCGGAUUAGAUACCCGGGUAGUCCUAGCUGUAAACGAUGCGGACUUGGUGUUGGGGUGGCUUUGAGCUGUCCCAGUGCCGAAGGGAAGCUGUUAAGUCCGCCGCCUGGGAAGUACGGUCGCAAGACUGAAACUUAAAGGAACUGGCGGGGGAGCACCACAACGCGUGGAGCCUGCGGUUUAAUUGGAGUCAACGCCGG